rnacentral:rRNA from 1 species
AUUGAACGCUGGCGGCAGGCCUAACACAUGCAAGUCGAGCGGAGCGGCGGACGGGUGAGUAAUGCCUAGGAAGCUGCCUGGUAGUGGGGGAUAACGUCAGGAAACGGGCGCUAAUACCGCAUACUACCAGAUGAGCCUCGGUCGGAUUAGCUAGUGGGUGGGGUAAAGGCCUACCAAGGCGACGAUCCGUAACUGGUCUGAGAGGAUGAUCAGUCACACUGGAACUGAGACACGGUCCAGACUCCUACGGGAGGCAGCAGUGGGGAAUAGUGGACAAUGGGCGAAAGCCUGAUCCAGCCAUGCCGCGUGUGUGAAGAAGGUCUUCGGAUUGUAAAGCACUUUCAGCGGGGAGGCGUUACCCGCAGAAGAAGCACCGGCUAACUCCGUGCCAGCCGCCGCGGUAAUAC